rnacentral:rRNA from 1 species
GACGAACGCUGGCGGCGUGCUUAACACAUGCAAGUCGAACGGAAAGGCCCUGCUUUUGUGGGGUGCUCGAGUGGCGAACGGGUGAGUAACACGUGAGUAACCUGCCCUUGACUUUGGGAUAACUUCGGGAAACUGGGGCUAAUACCGGAUAGGAGCUCCUGCUGCAUGGUGGGGGUUGGAAAGUGUCGGCGGUUGGGGAUGGACUCGCGGCUUAUCAGCUUGUUGGGGGGGUAGUGGCUUACCAAGGCUUUGACGGGUAGCCGGCCUGAGAGGGUGACCGGCCACAUUGGGACUGAGAUACGGCCCAGACUCCUACGGGAGGCAGCAGUGGGGAAUAUUGCACAAUGGGCGGAAGCCUGAUGCAGCAACGCCGCGUGCGGGAUGACGGCCUUCGGGUUGUAAACCGCUUUCGCCUGUGACGAAGCGUGAGUGACGGUAAUGGGUAAAGAAGCACCGGCUAACUACGUG